rnacentral:lncRNA from 1 species
CUCUAAGCCUAAGAGGUUUGAUAAGGCUUCGCAUCCUCUAGAGUGAAGUGGUCAAUUUGCACAAGGCGGUUGGCGAUAUUGUGCAUGAGCAUGAAUCGCGCCUCCACACCUUAGAAAAGAGUCAUAGUUUCAAGUGUGUUUGCUUUAUUUCAAGCAAGAGUUGAUGAGCCUCUUCUAAUUGAUCUUCCUUCGUCGGAGUUGGAAUGGGAGGAGCUUCCCUCUUAGGCAUUUGAGCCUCGGCCUUACAGUCACUAUUGGAUAGAGCUCUUUUAGCUCGUUUUGCCUCCAACACUUCUCUUAGGCCUUUCGCCCUUUGGUGCUUU